UAUUAAACCGUACUCUCGUUGCACUCAACCUUUCCAGACUUUUCCAUCCUUAGUGUUGGCAUAGCUGCGCAACAACCUGUUCCACGAGCUGAUUGUGUGAACUUGGGGAAGAUGGAAGGUGAUGGCAGACUCUGAUUUGGGCUAACAGCCAGCUGAAGAAAUCAGUUUGUUUCUGUAAUAAAGGUUUUUGUGGAAAGAAAUCCACACAGAAUGACCAGCAUCACCAGACCAGGCCUUUGGUCCUAGUUCCUUUUUUUUUAAGUGUAAUUUUUCAAAUAAGAUAAAAUUUUAUUAUCUCACAAUGGAAGAUUUGUGUGUUACUACAGCUCAACUACAGAAAAACAGAGUGAGAAAAGUAGAUUAACAAAAUAUAAAAUACAGAUAUUAAAUACAAAUACAAUAAAAUAAAACUAGAAACCAACAGUAACUGGUGUUCUGUGUACAAGCAUACACAGUAUGCAAUAUGGAGGAAGGGUUAUGGAAAAUAGGUAACAUCUGUCUGUAUGUAUAGACAUACAUAUAAACACACAUACAUAUACACACACACUCACAAUAUGGAGAACGCUAUGAGUUUAGAAACUGCAGUACCAGCUUUGAUGUCACAAAAAACUCUAAGUACUAAAUACUUUACAGAACAAAUUAGUUACAGCCGUCUUCAACCAAACAACAAACAGACACAGUUAAAACCAAAAAAUGUCAUCAUUGUAAUCACUGUACAGAUACGAACUAUUACAUUUACAGACCUUUUCUCCCAGAAAGAGUACCCUGGUAAUCAUUUCAUGAGCUGUAAAACCACAUUUGUCAUGUACAGGUUAGAAUGUCCAGGACGUAAAGUUUUUUUUUUAGUUUGGUAGAACUAAGAGACGUUUGCCAGACAGAUUAGCAGAACAUAAAUAUGCAAUCUGGACAUUUAAUCUGAACUAUCCUAUGACCAAACGUUUCUUGGAGCACCACAGCAGUGAUCCAUCGACAUUAAGAGUAUAUGGAAUUGAUCAUAUCCCCAUUUCCAUUAGAAAAGGUGACAAACAAAAACUCAACCAAAGAGUCUUUUGGAUUUUUAAAUUACAGGCCACUAAACAUCCUGGGUUCAGUGAUGAGCUAGAUAUUACUUUGAGUAGUUCGGUUAUGCUACUUGUUAUGUUGUAUUGUUUGACUAUUGGUGUGGUUAUUUUGUGGUUUAAAUGAGAGCAUCCUGUCAUGUUAGAUUAUGCCAUCUCCUGUUGAAAUAUGGCAUCCAUGUUUGUAGUUCUUUGUAUUUUUUUCUGUUUUCUAUGGAGGGAGUGUUGUUGAUGGAAAUUUCAUUACAGGUGGAGAAUUCCUAUUGGUGCAAUUCCACUAUAAAGACACCUGAACUCAUCAACUCUGACUCCCUGACGAAGGUCAUUGGACUGAAACACAGGGGUGUUUUUUUAAAGGUCAAUAAGACUAUGUCACACGAAUGAGUUUUAGUUAUUUCUAAAGGUGAGUGUCUUUAAAGUGACUGUUAUCAGUCUCACCAGCUGGAAUCCAGACAAAUAAAAUGGUGAAAGUGGAAUUUGUCAGCCUUGUCUAAGUAUCUGAUACUUAUCUACUGUUGGAUAAUCAAUGUUAGAAUAAUAAAAAAAAAAAACAAUAUUUGAAAUGACUGCAAAUGGCCACAUAGACAUUACAACAAGAUUAACAGCUGGAUAUAAACCCAGAUUGGAUUCAAAUAAGGUAAAAUAUCAGCAGAAAACUGAAAACGUUAACGUGAUUGGCUACUUUGUGCAUAAAAGACAUUUAAAUUAAAAAUAUUUUACUUUUGAAUGGGGUAUGAGCAAAUCAUAUUGAAGCCACCACAGAAUGCAGCCUGUCUCAUGUGUUCAUGCGCACAAGUCUGCAGGCAACAUUCUACCUUUUUACUCCAGGAAACAAACCACAUUCUUGAGUUAAAUGAGAUCAUACUCCAGACUGAUCUGUUUAAUCUUACGAAGAACUCAUGAGCUGUGUGAAAGGCUGCACCAGAGGUUCGGCUUUUGUUUCUGGCUCGGUUUUGAUCCGAGUUGAUGCAGCUCUUAACACGCAGUCAUUUCCUGACAUUUUUUAAAUCAUCUGUUAAAGGCAUGUUAGAGAUUAAAAAUGCUGUAAAUGUUGUGCUGAAAAU